rnacentral:rRNA from 1 species
GUUCUCCCCGAAAUAGCUUUAGGGCUAGCGUCGAAGUAAGGGUAGUGGAGGUAGAGCACUGAAUUCAUGAUGGCGCCGUCAAGGUGUACUGAAUGAAAUCAAACUCCGAAUGCCAUUAUUGAAUCUUCGGCAGUCAGACUGUGGGUGAUAAGGUCCAUGGUCAAAAGGGAAACAGCCCAGACCGCCAGUUAAGGUCCCAAAAUGCAUGCUGAGUGGAAAAGGAUGUGGGGAUGCACAGACAACUAGGAGGUUGGCUCAGAAGCAGCCACCCUUCAAAGAGUGCGUAACAGCUCACUAGUCGAGUGACCCUGCGCCGAAAAUGUACCGGGGCUAAGCAUGCUACCGAAGCUGCGGAUUUGUAGGAAUACAAGUGGUAGGGGAGCGUUCUAUGCAGCGUAGAAGCCAUAUCGUGAGGAGUGGUGGAGCGCAUAGAAGUGAGAAUGCCGGUGUGAGUAGCGAGAUGUAGGUGAGAAUCCUACACACCGAUAGCCCAAGGAUUCCAGGGGAAGGUUCGUCCGCCCUGGGUAAGUCGGGACCUAACGCGAGGCCGAAAGGCGUAGUGGAUGGAAAACAGGCAGAUAUUCCUGUACCCGCGAUGGAAAUGAAGGAAUGACGGAGAAGGUAAGUAUGACCCACUAAAUGGAUUGUGGGCGAAGCGUAUAGCAGGAUGGCAGUGAAAUGCGUCAUCAGGAUGUAAAGCGUGAAAGGUAAGGGAACGCCCAAGGGCAAGUACCGAAGCAUAUGUAGCCAGCUUCCAGGAAAAGUUUCUAGUAUAUUCCAUAGCGGCCCGUACCAAAACCGACACAGGUGGGCAAGGAGAGGAUCCUGAGGUGAGCGAGAGAACUGUUGCCAAGGAACUCGGCAAAAUGACUCCGUAAGUUAGCGAGAAGGAGUGCUUAUGAAAGUAAGCCGCAGUGAAGAGGCCCAAGCGACUGUUUAACUAAAACACAGCUCUCUGCAAAGUCGCAAGACGAAGUAUAGGGGGUGACGCCUGCCCGGUGCUGGAAGGUUAAGAGGAUUUGUCAGUAGCGAUACGAAGCAAUGAAUUGAAGCCCCAGUGAACGGCGGCCGUAACUAUAACGGUCCUAAGGUAGCGAAAUUCCUUGUCAGGUAAGUUCUGACCCGCACGAAAGGCGUAACGAUUUGGGCGCUGUCUCGGCAGCAGACUCGGUGAAAUCUUAGUACCUGUGAAAAUGCAGGUUACCCGCAACUAGACGGAAAGACCCCAUGGAGCUUUACUGCAGCCUGAUAUUGAGUUUCGAUCAGAGAUGUACAGGAUAGGUGGGAGACAAAGAGACAUGCACGCCAGUGUAUGAGGAGUCGCUGUUGGGAUACCACUCUUGUCUGAUUGGAAUUCUAACCUGCAUCCCUAAGCGGGAUGAGGGACCGUGUCAGGUGGGCAGUUUGACUGGGGCGGUCGCCUCCCAAAGAGUAACGGAGGCGCCCAAAGGUACGCUCAGAUUGGAUGGAAAUCAAUCGACGAGUGCAAAUGCAGAAGCGUGCUUGACUGCGAGACAAACAGGUCGAGCAGGGACGAAAGUCGGGAUUAGUGAUCCGGCGGUGCCGAAUGGAAGGGCCGUCGCUCAACGGAUAAAAGCUACCCUGGGGAUAACAGGCUGAUCUCGCCCAAGAGUUCACAUCGACGGCGAGGUUUGGCACCUCGAUGUCGGCUCAUCGCAUCCUGGAGCUGAAUUCGGUUCCAAGGGUUGGGCUGUCCGCCCAUUAAAGCGGUACGCGAGCUGGGUUCAGAACGUCGUGAGACAGUUCGGUCCCUAUCUGUUGUGGGCGAAGGAGAUUUGAGGAGAGCUGUCCUUAGUACGAGAGGACCGGGAUGGACCUACCGCUGGUGCACCGGUUGUUCCGCCAGGAGCAUAGCCGGGUAGCUAAGUAGGGAAGGGAUAAGCGCUGAAAGCAUCUAAGCGCGAAGCCUACUCCAAGAUGAGAUCUCCCAUUCGCAAGAAGUAAGACCCCUUGA